rnacentral:tRNA from 1 species
AUUUAAAUAACUUAAUUAUAAGAGUGUUAUAUUGAAGAUAUAAAAGUGAUUGAUUUUAAUCUUUAAAUA